AGACCCGAAACCCGGUGAUCUAGCCAUGGGCAGGUUGAAGGUUGGGUAACACUAACUGGAGGACCGAACCGACUAAUGUUGAAAAAUUAGCGGAUGACCUGUGGCUGGGGGUGAAAGGCCAAUCAAACCGGGAGAUAGCUGGUUCUCCCCGAAAGCUAUUUAGGUAGCGCCUCGUGAACUCAUCUCCGGGGGUAGAGCACUGUUUCGGCUAGGGGGCCAUCCCGGCUUACCAACCCGAUGCAAACUGCGAAUACCGGAGAAUGUUAUCACGGGAGACACACGGCGGGUGCUAACGUCCGUCGUGAAGAGGGAAACAACCCAGACCGCCAGCUAAGGUCCCAAAGUCAUGGUUAAGUGGGAAACGAUGUGGGAAGGCCCAGACAGCCAGGAUGUUGGCUUAGAAGCAGCCAUCAUUUAAAGAAAGCGUAAUAGCUCACUGGUCGAGUCGGCCUGCGCGGAAGAUGUAACGGGGCUAAACCAUGCACCGAAGCUGCGGCAGCGACACUUUAGUGUUGUUGGGUAGGGGAGCGUUCUGUAAGCCGUUGAAGGUGUCCUGUGAGGGGUGCUGGAGGUAUCAGAAGUGCGAAUGCUGACAUAAGUAACGAUAAAGCGGGUGAAAAGCCCGCUCGCCGGAAGACCAAGGGUUCCUGUCCAACGUUAAUCGGGGCAGGGUGAGUCGACCCCUAAGGCGAGGCCGAAAGGCGUAGUCGAUGGGAAACGGGUUAAUAUUCCCGUACUUGGUGUUACUGCGAAGGGGGGACGGAGAAGGCUAUGUUGGCCGGGCGACGGUAGUCCCGGUUUAAGCGUGUAGGUGUGUGUUCCAGGCAAAUCCGGUUCACUUUAACACUGAGGCGUGAUGACGAGGCACCACGGUGCUGAAGCAACAAAUGCCCUGCUUCCAGGAAAAGCCUCUAAGCAUCAGGUAACAUCAAAUCGUACCCCAAACCGACACAGGUGGUCAGGUAGAGAAUACCAAGGCGCUUGAGAGAACUCGGGUGAAGGAACUAGGCAAAAUGGUGCCGUAACUUCGGGAGAAGGCACGCUGACACGUAGGUGAAGUGAUUUACUCACGGAGCUGAAGUCAGUCGAAGAUACCAGCUGGCUGCAACUGUUUAUUAAAAACACAGCACUGUGCAAACACGAAAGUGGACGUAUACGGUGUGACGCCUGCCCGGUGCCGGAAGGUUAAUUGAUGGGGUCAGCGCAAGCGAAGCUCCUGAUCGAAGCCCCGGUAAACGGCGGCCGUAACUAUAACGGUCCUAAGGUAGCGAAAUUCCUUGUCGGGUAAGUUCCGACCUGCACGAAUGGCGUAAUGAUGGCCAGGCUGUCUCCACCCGAGACUCAGUGAAAUUGAACUCGCUGUGAAGAUGCAGUGUACCCGCGGCAAGACGGAAAGACCCCGUGAACCUUUACUAUAGCUUGACACUGAACAUUGAGCCUUGAUGUGUAGGAUAGGUGGGAGGCUUUGAAGCGUGGACGCCAGUCUGCGUGGAGCCGACCUUGAAAUACCACCCUUUAAUGUUUGAUGUUCUAACGUGGACCCGUAAUCCGGGUUGCGGACAGUGUCUGGUGGGUAGUUUGACUGGGGCGGUCUCCUCCUAAAGAGUAACGGAGGAGCACGAAGGUUGGCUAAUCCUGGUCGGACAUCAGGAGGUUAGUGCAAUGGCAUAAGCCAGCUUGACUGCGAGCGUGACGGCGCGAGCAGGUGCGAAAGCAGGUCAUAGUGAUCCGGUGGUUCUGAAUGGAAGGGCCAUCGCUCAACGGAUAAAAGGUACUCCGGGGAUAACAGGCUGAUACCGCCCAAGAGUUCAUAUCGACGGCGGUGUUUGGCACCUCGAUGUCGGCUCAUCACAUCCUGGGGCUGAAGUAGGUCCCAAGGGUAUGGCUGUUCGCCAUUUAAAGUGGUACGCGAGCUGGGUUUAGAACGUCGUGAGACAGUUCGGUCCCUAUCUGCCGUGGGCGCUGGAGAAUUGAGGGGGGCUGCUCCUAGUAC
rnacentral:rRNA from 1 species